GGGGAAUUUUGGACAAUGGGGGAAACCCUGAUCCAGCCACCCCGCGUGUGCGAUGAAGGCCUUCGGGUUGUAAAGCACUUUUGGCAGGGAAGAAACGGCCUGGGAUAAUACCCUGGGCUAAUGACGGUACCUGCAGAAUAAGCACCGGCUAACUACGUGCCAGCAGCCGCGGUAAUACGUAGGGUGCAAGCGUUAAUCGGAAUUACUGGGCGUAAAGCGUGCGCAGGCGGUUCGGAAAGAAAGGUGUGAAAUCCCGGGGCUUAACCUCGGAACUGCACUUUUAACUACCGGGCUAGAGUACGUCAGAGGGGGGUAGAAUUCCACGUGUAGCAGUGAAAUGCGUAGAUAUGUGGAGGAAUACCGAUGGCGAAGGCAGCCCCCUGGGAUGAUACUGACGCUCAUGCACGAAAGCGUGGGGAGCAAAC
rnacentral:rRNA from 1 species